AGUGAACGCUGGCGGUAGGCCUAACACAUGCAAGUCGAACGGCAGCACAGUAAGAGCUUGCUCUUACGGGUGGCGAGUGGCGGACGGGUGAGGAAUACAUCGGAAUCUACUUUUUCGUGGGGGAUAACGUAGGGAAACUUACGCUAAUACCGCAUACGACCUACGGGUGAAAGCAGGGGAUCUUCGGACCUUGCGCGAUUGAAUGAGCCGAUGUCGGAUUAGCUAGUUGGCGGGGUAAAGGCCCACCAAGGCGACGAUCCGUAGCUGGUCUGAGAGGAUGAUCAGCCACACUGGAACUGAUACACGAUCCAGACUCCUACGGGAGGCAGCAGUGGGGAAUAUUGGACAAUGGGCGCAAGCCGGAUCCAGCCAUACCGCGUGGGUGAAGAAGGCCUUCGGGUGGUAAAGCCCUUUUGUUGGGAAAGGAAAGCAGCAGGUUAAUACCCCGCUGUUCUGACGGUACCAAAAGAAUAAGCACCGGCUAACUUCG
rnacentral:rRNA from 1 species